UGCGGCUGAGGGAGGGGCCGCUCCUCAGGGAGCCGAGUGUGGGACGGGCGUCGUGCGGCCGAAGCGGGAGCGGUAACCAGCUCGUGUGUGUCUUUAAUGCACCUCAGGGUGAGCCCUGGGGCUGUGUGCAAUGUGUGCCGGAGAAACCGAAUGGAAAUUCGAGGGAAACACAUAGGAAAAUAGCGUGGAGGUGCAGAAGGGAUCUCACACUGCGCUCACAGUGCGGCCUUAGGUGGGGGCUUGGUGGAAGGAAGGCCCCGUUGUGUACAAUGGUGCCUGCAGCCACGGCCGGGCAGAGAGAGCGGCCAGGGGGCGAAGUGGGCUGCCAUGUGUGGAGCCGCAGCGUGAAGGGCAAAUGCUGCCUCACAAGGAACAUGUGCGGCUGGUGCCAGCCACCACAGUGUGCUCAGCUCAGCGACUGCCCAGCUGCUGUUUGAGGGACCUGCUAACAAAACAUGGCGCUGGAGAGGGAGGAGCUGCCAGAACAGAAACAUGGAGGUGCUGAGCUCCAGGCAACUACUGUCACCUUUCCCAGCUUAAUUCACCACCAGUGAUCCCAUGGUUAACACAGUCCACGCGGCUAUUUGUGCCUACAGCUCAGCCUUCUGUAGCGUUACAGAAGUAAGAUCUUUCUGGACAUUAUGUGUUUGGGUUUUUCUUUAAAUACUUCAAGAUUAUCAUUCUGUGUGCAUGUGAAGCAGUCCAUAUUAGAUAUGCUUUGAUAGUAGCUAAGACAUUGCUAAGAUCAGAGGAAGCUACUUUUCUACUCCCGCACUCCUGUCUUCUUACACCUCUCUUUUCUUUCCAGAAGUUAAUCCCUGUUAGAGUAGAUUUCAGUUAUUCCAGUAGCACAAAACCAGCUGUCUGAACAAGGCCUCUUGGACAUGGGAGCUCUGUCCCCCCUCUUCUGUGUGUGUAAAGAGAGAUUGUUUUGAUUUUCAAAGCAGUUUGAAACAGAAACAGAAAGCACUUUGUCCCAGCCAGAAAUAGUAAUUCCUUACACACAGCUUUUUCAACAACACAUUUCAAAAUGUCCCCUCUUGUCUCAGGGCAGGCAGGAACUGACUCUGGGAACUAGUUAUCGCUGCCCUUGGAACAAGCAUCCUGUCGAAGUACUGAUAUGGAGAAGGCAAGUUAAAGAGUUGAGAGUAUUUCUGUCGGAGAAAGGAGUUGAUGAGUGAGUUCUUAUUGAGGACUUUAUAAUAGAAUACAGCUAUAGAGUUGUGGCUUUUUUUGUCAUCUCUGAGAAAACAAGGAUAUUUGAGAAGAGGAAGCCCAAUAACUGUAAAAUAAACAUGCUGAGAAGCAGAGAUUUGUAGGGACAGGCUGUUAGCUGCCCAAGGAAGGCAGUGACCUCAGCAGCUUCAGGUUCACUGAAAACUUGAUUCUAAUUUGCAUCAUGUGAUUUACUAUUGCAGAUAGGCAAAGUUUCAAUGAUAGUAACUUAAAAUAAUCCUUUGAAAAGCAGCAGUUUAUUCAAAAUAAGAUGACUAUUCAAGAUGAGCCACAAGGCCAAAAAUGGAAGUUUUUAAUAAUUGCUGAGCUGAGGCAUUACCAGAUAUAGCAAACAGGUAGGCAGGCCCAGGGAGAACACACUCAGCAGGAGCCACGACAAAGCAGUUGGAAAAUAGAUACGUAGAUGUUCCAAGGCAACGCAUUGUGAGUACUCGCGUCACUGGGAGGGUAUCUCUUGAAUAUUCAACACACGUAGCAGUAAUAUUAUCAUCUAUUAAGAACAUUCUAUGGUUCUGUCACCUUUGGGUUGUAAGUGUUCAUCACUCUACAUUUUCUAAGCAAACUUCUCAUGUCCUCAGUUCACUUUUCACUGAACCAGCUUUGCUUAGCUAGUGUGUAUAUAUAUACACACAUACAUACACAUGUGUAUAUAUAUGUACACGUGUGUAUAUAUAGAAAUACGCAGAUGUUAACUAAAAGAUUUGCACCAAAAUCCACUAUCCAUACACAAAACUAUCACUCAGACCAGCAUCCACCUAGGGAUGCCUGUAACACUGAGGAACUGUGCACAGCUCUAAGUAGCACAGCUGUCACUACUGUGUCUCAAGGUUCUCAACCAAAAUAUUACUUUCACAUUUGCUGGUAAAUUUCAACUCAGUUUCAGCUGAAAGUCGAAGCCAUUUUUGUUUUCCCUCCCAGAAUGUAAUAAGUAUGGCCACAUAAGCAACUAAAGAGGGAUAGCUGCGGAACUGGGGCAUAAAGCCAACAGCUCUCUGAAGAGAAGAUGGUUCUGAGAGCACAGGCUGCACAAGGUUUUCAAGACUUACUUGCAUGCUUGGCUUAGGUCAGUCCAACUGCACAGCUGUGGCCAGAGCUCUGUUUCAGUCCCACCUUAACACACAUUUCCCACAUAAAGAAAACAAUCCAGAAGUCGUAUUAAUAUAAAAUGUUUUUUAUUGUUUUUGAAAACAUUUAAAAAACAAUUUUUGAGCACUUUCAAUAAAAAAAAUAACUGAAAUGCUACUGCAAUAUUCAACUACUGUAGUUUCAGCAGUACAACAGACAACAAAACACUGCGGGAGAGAGGGAGAAUGGGAUUUCCUGCAUUAAAUGAAAAUGUAGUACAGGGAUUUCUUUUUUUUUCCUUAGGGUGCAGUUAAUAAAGCACGGUAUGGUACAAGAUUAUUAUAUGAACCUUGGAUGCACUGCACAAGAAACGCUUUCCUUCUUUUCAGUUCAGAAGUCAGUGCUUAUUGCAAUUAUCUGCAAAUUAUUUACUUCAUGAAUUCGUAUCAUGAUAAAAUGAUGCAAAAAUAUCUCUCAACACCCGAACAAUAAAAAAAAGAAUCCGAAAAAGGAACAUAUUCAACAAUAACUAAGCGGAAUUAGUUAACAUAAAAAAGUAAGUAACUUGUGAAUAACUAUGCUCACCUGGUUAACACCGAACCAGCUUCAAUACAGCAAAGAAUAAAAAAGAGUGGUUACAGGGAUAUAUCUAGUACUGUACAAGAUUAAGUCAUUAACACUCAUGCACAUUUUGUGAUCAUGUAUUAACAUGGUGAAGCAAACUAAACUUGAUUUUUCCUGCUGUAAUAUUCUCGUUUAAGAGAAUAAGAAAUAGAAAUAUCUCAUUGAGAUCAAUGCACAUUGCUACAUAAGACAAUUUCACCUGUCACUUUUAAUGACAUUUUGCCUUUUAAUAAUGAAACACGUUCCAUUUUUUUCUGUUUUACUUUUUGUGGGUUUUUUUUUUGUUUUGUUUUUAUUCUUUUAUUUAAAUCUGUUGGCCGUAUUUGUUGCAUUUAUCCUAAGGAAUGUGCCUGCCACAGGUUCAACAGAAUAUUAGUGCAAUACAUGAACCCAGAUAGUUUGCUGGACUAACCAACCAAUCUUAAAGUGUUUGCUGCAAUACUGUACACAGUGUACAAGUUCACUAGUUUGUAUAUUUUAGCAAAAACUGCUAUCAAAAUUAUUUGUCAUCUUAGUUGGAAGCCAAUUAUGUAAACAAGGGGUCAGAACUGUCUCGUUUUCUUUGUUCUGGAGUGUCUGACAGACAGGCUUCCAUUUGCUAAAAUCAUGGAAUCUUCCUUUGGGUGUUGCAUACUUUGGUGUGCAGUAGUGCUCUGUCUCAAUGUAAAGAACUAACUAGCACUAAAUACAGGGACCUCAUAGAACAUCAGUUAUAACACCAACACACAAACACUGCUGAAAGGACACAUACCAAUGUACAAAGCUGUGUCUAUGCCUUGGAUUUCACUUGAAAGAACCCUUACUGAAUAGAACACUUCUUCAAUUAAAUGUACAUUUGCUUUAAAUCCACUGAUCACAGAAUAUUCCUGUUAAUUAAACCACUCGUUAGGUUCAAAGUAAUGCUUGUAUUUAAAAACAAUCUAAAAGGUACUUUAAAAACCUUUGGUGACGGCUGCAUAAUUUAGAGAGCAUCAGCUUCAAAUCUACUCUUGUUUUUAGUAAGAAAUGUUCGGAAAAACUAGUGGAGUUAGGUGAGAACUUGUUGACACCAAGCCCACGUCAGUCUCAGCAACACGGGGGCCAGGCCAGCACAUCGUGAAGAUGUAGAGACUGCCACAGCACAGGUGGAGCUCGAGUUCUCCCCUCCAUCUCCACUGGAAAGCAGAGUUCACACGUUCACUGGCACUUCGCACAGGGUAAGAAAAAAGAAGCGCUGAGUGUGUCUCAGACCCAGCCAAGUCAACAAGGUAAGAGGAUGGUGAGCCAUACCUCUGGCUAAAGGCCGUGGACAGGUAUGCAAAUUCAAGUCCUGCCACUGGCAACUUGUGUCUAAAGGAAAAAUGGUUCCAGCCUCACUGCAGACACCUAAAAGAACCCUACCGUGCAGUUUUUAGACUCCUAACCUCUUCCUUAACUAACUAAGAAGGGUGACCUGGUCUUAAAACAAACCACACCAUUGCAUAUCCCUAUGUUUCAAGGAGCAAUCCGAACUCUCCAAGCCUGUUCCUAACGAAGCAGCAAAACUUCUGAUGCAAGCACAGUGAAAUCACGCUCCCUGUAAGGUGCUACAGUUUGUCACAACAGUUUUGUCCCUGAAGAAGCAGCCACAGACUGGUGGUCAAUCAGGGCAAGAGCAAGAGAAGGCAUGAUACACCAGCACCUGAAGUGACAAUGCAGCAGCACAAUUCAGAUCAGCUGUCAAAAAAGCUCAUCAGUACUGAGAUCAAGUCCUUAGCAAAAACUGAAGAAACAAAUGACCGCUAAGUCACUUUAACAAACAAAAAUCAAAAACAAAUAAUAAUCUGAGCAUCUAUUCCUUAAUAAAUCUUAGGGGGGCUUGUUGUGCCUUCCCAUUCAUAAAUUUAUGACCUCUUAUCCAAAGAAGGAAUGCAAGAGAGGAAAAUGUCUUCUGCUCUGCUUUCAGUUUGUCAGUUCACAAGAGAAAUAACCAAUCCUAUACUGAGCUUAAGGGAUGGUACUGUAGCAUUCUCAGAACAAUUAUUUCUUAACAGCCAGCCUCUGCAAAUCCUCUUGCCAGCAUCAGGGCCAGGGCUGGUCAAGCACCUCUCCAUCAUCACAGAGACUCAUGCCAUGCUGGUAAAUCAGGCGGCCGUUUUUGUUUUGGUUCAAGUGAACUGGUGAGUUAGAAGGUGAAAUUCCAUUUUCAAAGAGGGGCAGCUGAGGACGUGUAACAGAAAUCAGGUUCAUCGGUCCUCUCAAAUCAUCUGGUGAAAACUGAAUUCAGGCUUCUAAAACCAGUAAGCACUUUUAAAAUAAGUUUCAUCCAAAGUGAGCUCACAUCUAUAAAGUGCCUGGCAGUAUUAUGGCUCUAUACAAAAUAUUUUUAGAUCCACCACGUUUUAUAAUAUUUUAAUCAUCUU